AUUGAACGCUGGCGGCAGGCCUAACACAUGCAAGUCGAACGAGUGGCGGACGGGUGAGUAAUGUCUGGGAAACUGCCCGAGGGAGGGGGAUAACUACUGGAAACGGUAGCUAAUACCGCAUAACCUCGGAUGUGCCCAGAUGGGAUGAGCUAGGAGGUGGGGUAACGGCUACCCUAGGCGACGAUCCCUAGCUGGUCUGAGAGGAUGACAAGCCACACUGGAACUGAGACACGGUCCCGACUCUUACGGGAGGCAGCAGUGGGGAAUAUUGCACAAUGGGCGCAAGCCUGAUGCAGCCAUGCCGCGUGUAUAAAGAAGGCCUUCGGGUUGUAAAGUACUUUCAGCGAGGAGGCGUUACUCGCAGAAGAAGCACCGGCUAACUCCGUGCCAGCAGCCGCGGUAAUUC
rnacentral:rRNA from 1 species